GACGAACGCUGGCGGCGUGCUUAACACAUGCAAGUCGAACGGAAAGGCCCUGCUUUUGUGGGGUGCUCGAGUGGCGAACGGGUGAGUAACACGUGAGUAACCUGCCCUUGACUUUGGGAUAACUUCAGGAAACUGGGGCUAAUAUCGGAUAGGAGCUCCUGCUGCAUGGUGGGGGUUGGAAAGUUUCGGCGGUUGGGGAUGGACUCGCGGCUUAUCAGCUUGUUGGUGGGGUAGUGGCUUACCAAGGCUUUGACGGGUAGCCGGCCUGAGAGGGUGACCGGGCACAAUGGUACUGAGAGAGGGCCCAGACGCCUACGUGAGGCAGCGGUGGGGAAUAUGGCACAAUAGGCGGAAGCCUGAGGCAGCGACGCCGCGUGCGUGAUGACGGCCUUCGGGCUGUAAACCGCUUUCGCCUGUGACGAAGCGUGAGUGACGGUAAUGGGUAAAGAAGCACCGGCUAACUACGUG
rnacentral:rRNA from 1 species